rnacentral:lncRNA from 1 species
AGCAUAGCCAAACCCUGUCUGCACAAAAAUGUAAAAUAAAAUUAGCCAGGUAUGGUGGAGGAUGAGUCCUAGCUACUUAGGAGGCUGAGGUGUGUGGAUCACUUGAGCCAGGAGUUCAAGGCUGCAGUGAGUCAUGACAGGACAGAGGGAGACCUGUCUACUGUCUGUCCCUAUAGAAAAAGAAAAAAUCUCCUGGUGUCUUUUCCUGAAUUUGGCAGACAGGAUGGCCAGAGGAAAUGCAUCAAUGCAGAGGGACAGAAACAGCAGUGUGGCCUGGGAAAGGUUUUAAAGUUAGCUGGCCGGGUGCAGUGGCUCAUGCCUGUAAUCCCAGUGCUUUGGGAGUCCAAGGCGGGCAGAUCAACUGACGUCAGGGGUUCGAGACCAGCCUGAGCAACAUGGACAAACCCCGUCUCUACUAAAAAUAAAGAAAAAAUUAGCCUGGUGUGGUGGUGCAUGCCUGUAAUCCCAGCUACUCAGGAGGCUGAGAUACAGGAGUCAGAGCUGCCACAGACAGCGAGUUACAGCACUUUGCAGGGGACAGCUCAUGGACCCAGGACUGGAGCCCAGAAUGACAAGGGUUCUGGAAGGUAACAGGGAAAAUGGCAGUGGGGUGGGCAGCAUGCCUGCCCCUGAGUCAUUCCCAGGCCUAGGUGUGUGUCUACAGGAUGGACUGUCAGGGGAGGAUAGGGUGCAUUGUAAGGUUGGGGGAGGAGGCAGGACCUCAGGGCAAACUCCUCUGACCUACAAGGCCCAGGC